CUGUAAAGUGGGAUGAUCUUCCGCCACUCAGGCCAGGUGGUGGUUAGGAUUAAACCCUGAAGUCGACCUGAGCAGCUUAGCCUGGCGCCUGACCCAGAGCGGGCGCUCCACGCCCGCUGAUAUUAUUACUAAUUGUUUUCGGGAGAGGCAGAUUUGGGGCGUAGAGGGUGGGUGGGUUGAGGAGGGCAUUUUGGCCUGGGGGCGGAUGGGGCCCGCGGGGUGGGGCGCCCUGGGGGAGUGGGAGGCGGGGCUUCUGUGCCCGGUGUCCCCACCCCGCCCGGACCCCGGCUCGGGCCGUGCCUGGGUCUCUCCCGGGUCACCGGCGGGGAAUCCGUCCCCGCGCGCUUCCUCCUUCCUCCUCCUCCCGGCUGCCUGCCGGGCCCCUCCUCCCAGCUCGCGCGCUCCCUCCCUCCUCUUCCCUCCCCUCCCCGGGCCGCCGCCGCCUCCUCCUCCUCCUCCUCCCUUUCUCUCUCGAUCUGUCUCUCCCGGCCCGGAAUCCAUUCCGGCCUGGGAGCCGGAGCGGCCAGGCCGCCGUCUGCCCUACCCGCUGGCCGUCCCGCGGUCCGCCCUCCUGUGCGUCCGUCUGCCGGUGCGCCCGCCCGCCCGCCGGCCCAGAACUACCCAGAGAAGUUCCAGAGUAAAAGGAGAAGCCGGAAGGGAGGAGAAGUUGAAUGAUCUUGGCCAAAUCCCUUCCUGUCUGGUCCUCAGUUUCCUCAGUAUGGUGAGGGCUCCUCCCUUUGGGGCUCUGUGAUGGUAAUCCUAGCUGGGGAGUGUUCCAGGGGCAGGCCCAGUGGAGUCCUCUUAGAUGCUCAUGUAG
rnacentral:lncRNA from 1 species